GAGACUCUGUGCGCGUGCAUAUCAAUAAGCGGAGGAAAAGAAACUAACUAGGAUUCCCCUAGUAACGGCGAGUGAAGCGGGAAGAGCUCAAAUUUGAAAUCUUCAAGGUUCUACCUUGACGAAUUGUAGUUUAAAGAAGUGUUUUCUGUUGGAGUUUUGGUAAAAGUUCUUUGGAAUAGGACAUCAUAGAGGGUGAGAAUCCCGUAUUUGACCAUUAUUUUCCAACUUUGUGAUACACUUUCAAAGAGUCGGAUUGUUUGGGAAUGCAGUCCAAAAUGGGUGGUAAAUUUCAUCUAAAGCUAAAUAUUGGCGAGAGACCGAUAGCGAACAAGUACCGUGAGGGAAAGAUGAAAAGAACUUUGAAAAGAGAGUUAAACAGUACGUGAAAUUGUCAAAAGGGAAGCGUUUGACACCAGUGUUGUUUUUCCGAAAAUCAAUUAAAAAUUGAUUCAUGCCAGGUUGUAUUGACCUUAUCAGCUUGCAAUUUGGUUUUGGGUCUCUUUUUGAUGCACUUUUCGGUUAACAAGCCAACAUCAAUUUCCUUUGCUGUAAAAAAGGUAAGAGGAAGGUGGCUUCAAUUUCGGUUGAAGUGUUUAUAGCCUUUUAUCUCUGCAGUCGGGGAGAUUGAGGUCUGCAGCGUAGAUCCUUCGGGGCUAGAUACAUUGGUGCUAAGCUAUAGCCUUGUAUAGACAACUUGUUGACUAUGCUCAGUCAUGUAGCUUACUCGCUUGUGCUAUUUUACCUACGCUUAGGAUGUUGAAGUCAUCGUAUCGCGC
rnacentral:rRNA from 1 species